ACGCCUGAGGAGCGUUGCGACGGGGAAGGCCGCAGCCAGGCCGAUGCGCAGGACCAUGCGCGCGGCAAUGUGCAUGGCAAGCAUGCACGGUGUGUGUCCCCCGCCAGGCUCAGGCUCAAGUUCGGCUGUCCAUGCAUCGCGUGGCGGCAUGCAACGGCGCUCACCUUUG
rnacentral:ncRNA from 2 species